UGCCAGCCGCCGCGGUAAUACGGAGGGUGCAAACGUUGCUCGGAAUUAUUGGGCGUAAAGGGCGCGCAGGCGGUCUUGUCAGUCAGGUGUGAAAGCCCGGGGCUCAACCCCGGAUGGUCACUUGAAACAGCAAGACUUGAAUACGGUAGAGGAGAGAGGAAUUCCUGGUGUAGAGGUGAAAUUCGUAGAUAGCAGGAGGAACACCGAUGGCGAAGGCAGCUUUCUGGACCGAUACUGACGCUGAGGCGCGAAGGCGUGGGUAGCGAACGGGAUUAGAUA
rnacentral:rRNA from 1 species